rnacentral:rRNA from 1 species
GGAGGAUCAUUAGUGAAUAUAGGACGUCCAACUUAACUUGGAGUCCGAACUCUCACUUUCUAACCCUGUGCACUUGUUUGGGAUAGUAACUCUCGCAAGAGAGCGAACUCCUAUUCACUUAUAAACACAAAGUCUAUGAAUGUAUUAAAUUUUAUAACAAAAUAAAACUUUCAACAACGGAUCUCUUGGCUCUCGCAUCGAUGAAGAACGCAGCGAAAUGCGAUAAGUAAUGUGAAUUGCAGAAUUCAGUGAAUCAUCGAAUCUUUGAACGCACCUUGCGCUCCAUGGUAUUCCGUGGAGCAUGCCUGUUUGAGUGUCAUGAAUACUUCAACCCUCCUCUUUCUUAAUGAUUGAAGAGGUGUUUGGUUUCUGAGCGCUGCUGGCCUUUACGGUCUAGCUCGUUCGUAAUGCAUUAGCAUCCGCAAUCGAACUUCGGAUUGACUUGGCGUAAUAGACUAUUCGCUGAGGAAUUCUAGUCUUCGGAUUAGAGCCGGGUUGGGUUAAAGGAAGCUUCUAAUCAGAAUGUCUACAUUUUAAGAUUAGAUCUCAAAUCAGGUAGGACUACCCGCUGAACUUAAGCAUAUCAAUAAGCGGAGGAAAAGAAACUAACAAGGAUUCCCCUAGUAGCGGCGAGCGAAGCGGGAAGAGCUCAAAUUUAUAAUCUGGCACCUUCGGUGUCCGAGUUGUAAUCUCUAGAAAUGUUUUCCGCGUUGGACCGCACACAAGUCUGUUGGAAUACAGCGGCAUAGUGGUGAGACCCCCGUAUAUGGUGCGGACGCCCAGCGCUUUGUGAUACAUUUUCGAAGAGUCGAGUUGUUUGGGAAUGCAGCUCAAAUUGGGUGGUAAAUUCCAUCUAAAGCUAAAUAUUGGCGAGAGACCGAUAGCGAACAAGUACCGUGAGGGAAAGAUGAAAAGCACUUUGGAAAGAGAGUUAACAGUACGUGAAAUUGUUGGAAGGGAAACGCUUGAAGUCAGACUUGCUUGCCGAGCAAUCGGUUUGCAGGCCAGCAUCAGUUUUCCGGGAUGGAUAAUGGUAGAGAGAAGGUAGCAGUUUCGGCUGUGUUAUAGCUCUCUGCUGGAUACAUCUUGGGGGACUGAGGAACGCAGUGUGCCUUUGGCGGGGGUUUCGACCUCUUCACACUUAGGAUGCU